rnacentral:rRNA from 1 species
GAUGAACGCUGGCGGCGUGCCUAAUACAUGCAAGUCGAGCGAACAGAUAAGGAGCUUGCUCCUUUGACGUUAGCGGCGGACGGGUGAGUAACACGUGGGUAACCUACCUAUAAGACUGGGAUAACUUCGGGAAACCGGAGCUAAUACCGGAUAACAUUUGGAACCGCAUGGUUCUAAAGUGAAAGAUGGUUUUGCUAUCACUUAUAGAUGGACCCGCGCCGUAUUAGCUAGUUGGUAAGGUAACGGCUUACCAAGGCGACGAUACGUAGCCGACCUGAGAGGGUGAUCGGCCACACUGGAACUGAGACACGGUCCAGACUCCUACGGGAGGCAGCAGUAGGGAAUCUUCCGCAAUGGGCGAAAGCCUGACGGAGCAACGCCGCGUGAGUGAUGAAGGGUUUCGGCUCGUAAAACUCUGUUAUUAGGGAAGAACAAACGUGUAAGUAACUGUGCACGUCUUGACGGUACCUAAUCAGAAAGCCAUGGCUAACUACGUG